GACGAACGCUGGCGGCGUGCUUAACACAUGCAAGUCGAACGGUAAGGCCCUUCGGGGUACACGAGUGGCGAACGGGUGAGUAACACGUGGGUGAUCUGCCCUGCACUUCGGGAUAAGCCUGGGAAACUGGGUCUAAUACCGGAUAGGACCACUGCCUGCAUGGGUGGUGGUGGAAAGCUUUUGCGGUGUGGGAUGGGCCCGCGGCCUAUCAGCUUGUUGGUGGGGUGAUGGCCUACCAAGGCGACGACGGGUAGCCGGCCUGAGAGGGGGACCCACUACAGUGGGACGGAGAGACGGCCCAGACGCCUACGGGAGGAAGCGGUGGGGAAUAUUGCACAAUGGGCGCAAGCCUGAUGCAGCGACGCCGCGUGAGGGAUGACGGCCUUCGGGUUGGAACCCUCUUUCAGCACCGACGAAGCGCAAGUGACGGUAGGUGCAGAAGAAGGGCCGGCCAACUACGUGCCAGCCGCCGCCGUAA
rnacentral:rRNA from 1 species